rnacentral:lncRNA from 1 species
GGACAUCAGGCUUGAGUCUUGGUUCUGAAGGGCAAAAGACGGCCUUCACUUGAGAAGGCUGCUUAGGAAUCCGUGUCUUUGGAGGAAAAUCGGGUGUCAACAAGAGCAAGAAGGUGGAGGGAUCAUUCAGAGAAGAGGUCUCUGCUUUUGAGGGAGCACAAGGGAGAUCUAAAGGGGGGAAGUCAGUGGGGAGCCUCGGCCACACAGAGCUCACAGAGAUGAGGAAAGAGAUCCAGUGACUGAGGUCCACAGUGAUGGAGGGUCUGAUGAGGUAAAUCCUGAUCACCCCUUAGGACUGCUGUGUCACAGUUUCUCUUUGGGUUGUCCCUCAGGUGACCACAGGGCAGCUGAGACAUUGAUGUCCAGUGGGUGGUGGGAGCUUCAGGUCUGAGACAGAAAAGAGAGACCACUCUGGGGACACAGACUUGGGAGCUGGAAGCUUGUAGAUGGAAUGUGUGAGACCACCCAAGGACGGGGACACUGUGGGAUGAGCAGAAGACCUAGCACAGAAUUCCCAGCAACACCAACAUUAAGAGGCAGCAGAAAUUAGAAAAGUCACUCAGAGGACAGGAAAAGAUGGAGAAAACCAACAGUCUUGGGGCCAUGGAGGCUGAGGGAAGGUGCCCUUGGCAAAUGCUGCAGAGAGGUCCUCCACGAUUCACUGGAGCAUGUUCAGAGAUGGAAAAUAUAGCUGUAGAAAGUGAAGAAAACUGUCCCCUGUUGAAAUGAACCUGCGACCUUGGCUGUAUCAGCUCUGGUUAUAAGGAAACAGAGCUGACUUGAAAAUCCUCAAAUGUAUUUGGAAAAGCCACUAGGGUUCCCUGAAAGCAUAGCUGUUCAGAAACCUCAGGAAAUGCCAUCCGCAGUUUCAAUAGGCCUUAUCACUCCAGCUAUAAUAUGCUUUCUGGAAUGAAAUGUUGUUGAUUAUACAGCCAGGCUAUGAUUUUCUGAUUUGUGCAACAAUAUCUCUCUGGAAGGAAGAUAGAUUGUCAUGCAUUGAAUUCCUAAUCUAAUGCCUAAUUUUGUCCAAGGUACUGUAAAUCUUGAUGUGUUACCUGAAGGGAAACCUUCGAUUUCCAAAAAAUGAGUAUUAUAGAGUUUUCUAUGACCCAAAGAGACUUGUGCUGCAGGCAGCAACCGCAUGGCAUGGAUUUUUGCCAGCCACAUUAAGAUGCUGAAUAUAGAAAACAUCAGAUUCUGAUCCUGACCAACUGUCACCCUGUGUCCGGCGGCCCCUCACCUUCAGCAAACUCAAUUUCUGAAAGUCUGAAUUAGCACCAGAAAUAAAUGAGAAGACAAUGCUGCUCUUUAAGCUGCA